rnacentral:tRNA from 1 species
GGAGAGGUGUCCGAGAGGCCUAAGGAGCACGACUGGAAAUCGUGUAGGCGGCGAAUACCGUCUCGGGGGUUCGAAUCCCCCCCUCUCCG